GUGGUGGAUUUAAAGGGAAUUCUGCUGCUCAAAGUAUAAAUAUUUGGUAUUAAAAGCAAAUAUUAGCAGUUCCAAAAACUUAAAAUAAGCCAGUGGAUUACUUGGAUAACGGUGUCUACCUAACCGAAAUUAAAGUUCGCCAACUGUUGAACAUUAAAGGACCUCGUUUCGCAGAACCGACAUAUUGAACACAUUCCACAACAAUUUGCAUUUCUUUAUGGUACUCACAAGUAUUUUUCAACCGAACUCCCCCACUCUCGUUACGCAACGCAAACUGCUCCAACUAGUGCUCGACUGCCUGCUUUAUGUCUUUCCAUUAUUGAUGACUUAAUUCCGGUUGAUUUAUUGAGGCCACAAACAGCCGGUCAGCGGGCUCAGAGAGCCCAGCGAGCCGUGUUUUGCAAUGGCCGGAACCAGGAGUCAGGACCUGGACCUGGCCAGGAUGCCAUUUGGUAUGCACACGUACUGGCGCAAAUGGAACCACUCGGUGGAGGGGCACAGCUAGCAGACCAAGCAGCUGUGCUGGUCCAGAACGUGUUUAAUAAAUAAGCCCAGUUAAUAUGGCGCAAAAAGUUGGGGGGCCAAAGCAAUAGAUAUUUUAAAAUAUUUUCUUCUGUGCACACGGCAAAGGUACUUGGCAUUGUCUGAGAAGUAUUUAUUUUCGAGUUACCUAUCUCGGUGCAUCGACCUCGUUGAAUUGGCAACAGUUAAUGAUGUUAACAGGAGCUCUGAAUGGCCGGCGGCAACAUGCAUUCAGCCGUUCCUCCAUUGAUCACUUCGAAAGGAUGAAAAACGAGCUUUUUCAGAUGGAGAUACUGCCGCAAAAGUUCCAUUGGCAGCAGGAGGUGUAAUCGAAACGAACGCAAACUCGAUUGGUGCACGGUAAUUAAAAUUUAAUCAUUGGACAUUAGUAUUCCCAUACACACUGAGGUUGCCGUGGGCGACUGGGCCAGUGGGCGUGGCAGUGGGUGUGGUCGAUAAUGCCGCGUUGGGGGCUUAGCCAAAUGGACGGGUUCGAAGGGCCGGGGGCCAGUCAAAUGAGCUCGCUUUUGAGGGGCUUUCGCCUGGUAUCUCUGCAUUCACUCCGAGCUGCAUACUUUCAGGCAUGUAAAUGCACAAUCCCCACCUGCGAUUCUGCGAGUGUGGAUAAAUGUUUGAUUUGGGGGUUUGGGUAACUCGUUUGUCCGUCUGUUUGUUUGUUUGUUAGGUUGCCAAGGUAUUUAAGUCGCCGCCGCUUUUAGCUGCGUUUCGCUUCGGGCUUUUAAUAGAUUCCUGCUAAUGACAUGCAAUUAAUUUUGUGGUUUUUCAAACAGAAUCAUAAACUGUGGAAAAAAGAUAUUGGCCAAGUGUGAGUCCUUGUGGGAGUAGCUACAUUAAAACGCAGGGAUCUUUAGGGAGCUUUGUUUUUGAAUAUACAAAGCAUAUAAGCCACUCUAACCAAAAAACAAUAUUUAUUUACAAAUGAAAAAAAUACUUUGUUGUUAGCCUAGUUUCUGAAUAUUACACUUAAUUUUUAAAAUUGCCUUACACAUUAAAUUUAAUUCUGAUAAUAUUCUAAAACGUUUUUAAUUAUAUCAAGUUUUAUUGACCAUCAUAUGCUCAAUAUUAAGGAUUUUAAAGUGUGGCUUGGAUUGGACAAGUUGCCAUCCAAAAAUGAUUUUUCAAGCACAGCAAUAUCUAUCAAGAAAAUGCAUUUUCUGCGGAUUACAAGCCAUCGGAAGGAGGGGCCGUCGACCCUUUGGCACAUCUGCUAUUCAUUUCGAACUUUUAUCUAACAACAAAGCUCACACAUGGAAUACACAAUGUUUUGAGCACUCGGACAAAAGGACAACCCCAAUUGCGAGUGGCCAAAAGGGCAAAGAGCCAGGGGACUCGGCCAGCAAAUGGCCAGCGAUGGCAAUUAACUUUAUAACAUUUGCAUGGCCCAUGUGCAGUUUCCUGGCCUUGUUGUUGCGGGUAAUGCACGCCAGUUGAUUAAUUGGAAAUUGCGGUUAAUGGAUGGUCAGAUCGGAAUCGAAAUCGACAAUGGAGAUGAAAAAGUCGCCCUGGAGUCUAGACUUUUAAUUAGACCAGCAACUGAGCCUAGAAGUGUGCUCUACUCGGAGCAUAUGCAAAAAGUUUGCUGCCAAAACUUUGCCACUUGCCAGUGAAUUUUUUCCUUCAGACCCAAAAAGUUGACAGAUUUGCAGCGGAAAAUUAACAAGUUCCGUGCGGAAAACAUAUUUCUUUUUUUUGAAUAAACUUCACCCUCACAAAAUCGAGUUAAGAAGUCAGAGAAAGUAUAAAAUGCUAAAAAUGUGCUAAAAACUAUGUUCACGGAAGAGUUUCAUGGGUGUGUUUUCCUCUUUUUUUUGAAGCAGCUGUUUUCCGACCAAGUCUACCAAAACUUAAAAAGUCGUAGAAGUCGCCGGCAGUUUUGUGUUGCCGCAUUUUUAUGCCCUUCUGGCAAACCCGAAUUUCCGGCUCUGAUCGCUCAACAGCCUAGAAACAGAGUUUGUUGGAAAUUAAGUUUACUCGAUGAGUACUUCCAGUUGUUUGCACUGCAGACGCAUAUUUUCCUCGAUGUUGUGGUCUCUUGCAGGAAGUCAAGAAUAGCAUUUUUAUAUUUCGUAGCAUGUGUUUCUUUGUAAAUAAAAUAUAAUUGGUUUCAUGUUUCUUUCAUGAAAAAAAUAAUCUAAAAACUAUUUUACCAUUUCUACCAAUUUAUUUUAUUUGGUUAUAACACCCCUAUUACUAGUAAUGUGAUUGAAAUGUAUUUUUAAAAUUGUCUAUUCUCAGAGUUUUAAAUUCUGUUUGCCUUUUUCUUCUAUUUAUAAAAAUACAUCUGAUUAAUGUGAUAAAUUUAAAGUACCUAUUAAAAUAGAAAAUAACUAAAAAAUAUUUAUUUAUUCUCCGAAUUUCUGGCAAUCUGCACCUACUGCAGUUCCUAAUCUGCCCAUCUAAAUUCUCGUCGUGUUCAGGACACACGCUCAGCUGGUGAUUCCCUUCGACCCAAUUA